AUUGAACGCUGGCGGCAGGCCUAACACAUGCAAGUCGAGCGGAUGAAGGGAGCUUGCUCCUGGAUUCAGCGGCGGACGGGUGAGUAAUGCCUAGGAAUCUGCCAGGUAGUGGGGGAUAACGUCCGGAAACGGGCGCUAAUACCGCAUACGUCCUGAGGGAGAAAGUGGGGGAUCUUCGGACCUCACGCUAUCAGAUGAGCCUAGGUCGGAUUAGCUAGUUGGUGGGGUAAAGGCCUACCAAGGCGACGAUCCGUAACUGGUCUGAGAGGAUGAUCAGUCACACUGGAACUGAGACACGGUCCAGACUCCUACGGGAGGCAGCAGUGGGGAAUAUUGGACAAUGGGCGAAAGCCUGAUCCAGCCAUGCCGCGUGUGUGAAGAAGGUCUUCGGAUUGUAAAGCACUUUAAGUUGGGAGGAAGGGCAGUAAGUUAAUACCUUGCUGUUUUGACGUUACCAACAGAAUAAGCACCGGCUAACUUCGUG
rnacentral:rRNA from 1 species